AUUGAACGCUGGCGGCAUGCUUUACACAUGCAAGUCGAACGGUAACAGGUUAAGCUGACGAGUGGCGAACGGGUGAGUAAUGCAUCGGAACGUGCCCGAUCGUGGGGGAUAACGCAGCGAAAGCUGCGCUAAUACCGCAUACGAUCUGAGGAUGAAAGCGGGGGACCGUAAGGCCUCGCGCGAUCGGAGCGGCCGAUGUCAGAUUAGGUAGUUGGUGGGGUAAAGGCUCACCAAGCCAACGAUCUGUAGCUGGUCUGAGAGGACGACCAGCCACACUGGGACUGAGACACGGCCCAGACUCCUACGGGAGGCAGCAGUGGGGAAUUUUGGACAAUGGGCGAAAGCCUGAUCCAGCAAUGCCGCGUGCAGGAAGAUGGCCUUCGGGUUGUAAACUGCUUUUGUACGGAGCGAAAAGGCUCUCUCUAAUACAGGGGGCUCAUGACGGUACCGUAAGAAUAAGCACCGGCUAACUACGUGCCAGCAGCCGCGGUAAUAC
rnacentral:rRNA from 1 species